CUGAGCCACAUGAGCCGGCAGCAGAUUGAACAGGAUUCUCUUGUUAUCCAGCUUCACUUUCUCCAUGUCGCCUCUCUCCUCCUCCGCCUGGACACCAUCAGCAAUAAAUACAACACACAAGAGGAGAAAGAGAGGCCUGGGUAACAGAGUAGGUGAGCAGAACGAGGAAGACACACAGCACCGUUCGGAUCUGGAUGGUGAGGCAGCCCGGUUGGCACUAAAACCAGAGGAGAGAGAAGGGAAGUGAUUGGAAAAUAGAACGAGUUUCUGAGCUGCAUCCUGAAGGAGGAGGUCUGGGAGUCCUACCUGAACACUGGUAAGAUGCAGGUACAUGACACAGGCCACGUGGAAACACACACACAGCACCAGCAGAAGCAGCACCAGCAUCCCCCUGAGAAACGAGAGGAGAGACCAGAGUGAGAAGGGCUUCCCCACUUU